rnacentral:rRNA from 1 species
CCUACGGGAGGCAGCAGUGGGGAAUAUUGGGCAAUGGGCGCAAGCCUGACCCAGCAACGCCGCGUGAAGGAAGAAGGCUUUCGGGUUGUAAACUUCUUUUGUCAGGGAAGAGUAGAAGACGGUACCUGACGAAUAAGCCACGGCUAACUACGUGCCAGCAGCCGCGGUAAUACGUAGGUGGCAAGCGUUAUCCGGAUUUACUGGGUGUAAAGGGCGUGUAGGCGGGAAAGCAAGUCAGAUGUGAAAACCACGGGCUCAACCUGUGGCCUGCAUUUGAAACUGUUUUUCUUGAGUACUGGAGAGGCAGACGGAAUUCCUAGUGUAGCGGUGAAAUGCGUAGAUAUUAGGAGGAACACCAGUGGCGAAGGCGGUCUGCUGGACAGCAACUGACGUUGAGGCACGAAAGCGUGGGGAGCAAACAGGAUUAGAUACCCCAGUAGUC